UACGAAGGGUGCGAGCGUUGUCCGGAAUCACUGGGCGUAAAGGGCGCGUAGGCGGCUUCUCAAGCGUGUGGUGAAAGUCCGGGGCUCAACCCCGGAUCGGCCGUGCGGACUGGGGAGCUCGAGUUCUGUAGAGGCGGGUGGAAUUCCGGGUGUAGCGGUGGAAUGCGUAGAGAUCCGGAAGAACACCGGUGGCGAAGGCGGCCCGCUGGGCAGAGACUGACGCUGAGGCGCGACAGCGUGGGGAGCAAACAGG
rnacentral:rRNA from 1 species